AUUGGUGGUCUGACACCUAAAGAGCAAAAAAAGUUGAUCAGAAAUCUUUUGUUUUGUUUAUUCUUAAUCCUUAGUCAAUUUGAAGUUAAAAACAUCCUUUCUGAGCAUAAUGCGACUCAUAUAACAAAUUUCACAGCUCAAUUUAAACUGACUGUAAUGUAAGCCUUUGAUAGAAAAUACUUGAAAAUCUCAUUUUGGACUAGAGAAACAUAAACUUUCAAUAUCAAGAUCAGCUUUUGUUGAUUUUUCCUUGUUUGUUCUACUGCUUUAAAGACUUUCCACAAUUUUUACAAUAAGUUUAAUAAAAAAUCCAAGGUAUUGAAGAGUCAAGGAAUA
rnacentral:lncRNA from 1 species